UUGCUGCAGGGGCCUGACAUUCCUGGGAGAGAAGAGGAAAGGGGUGACAGCUGCAAGAGAAGCAGUCUGGAGGCACCAGGUCUGCCCAUUCCCUUCUGCCUGUGUCCAGCCCACACCAGUCAGUGCUGAAGGCAUCCAAAUGUCCAUGCUGGUCACCUUCCCCUUCUUUGCAUCUCCAGUUUGAGACUUUUUUCCAUUCUACCCUGAGUGGACAAUCCUGGCUAAUGCUCAGCACACAGGAACAGAAGCUCUGGAGUCAUUUGUUGUACAUCUGAAUUCCCCAUGGAGCUCCUUGAAUACUGCUCAGGACAAAGUCGUUCCAAGCUACAGUUGCCUGAUGAAAUAUUCCAAGAUGAUGAUGGCCCAUGUGAUGCAAGACUUGCAGCAAGAUGGUUUGCUACAGGUGCCUUUCCAGACAGUCCAUCAUGGCCUCUCCACAUUUUCUUCUUCAGAGCCAGAAGCUGGUGGUCCUGCAUACAGCCCUUGAGCCUCCCAUGCCACCUCAACUGCCCUGCUCCUUUCCACACAGUCAUCCACAGAGCUCGCAGUUUUUGGAAGUGCAAAAUGGAUUUUCCAUGCUUGGUCCCUCUCUUUCAGUGAGGCGUUGCCUCUUUGCUUGGCCUCAUUCACACAUUUCAUGGGCUAACAUGCCUCUGAUUUUGUGAGACACCCUCCUCUCCUAUUUGCAUUUUAAUCCUGCUCCUAUGGCCUGAGAACAGUACCAGCUCCAUAAUCCAGCCUUGCAAUUGUCCACAAUAAUUUCUGUCUCCUGGUGGCAGCUGCUUUUUUGGAGACAGGCUUUUUCUUCUGUGUCUGUCCAGAGCUAGUUGGAUUUCUAACACUUGAUUCAAGCACUUUGUGCUUGGGACAUUAUUUGCCCAACCCAGCCCAACAGAGAGAGCAGGGGAGGCUCGUGGCUCCCUGUGUUCAGAUGUGUCUGAGGGGUCACAGGUCUCACCUUGACUUCUGCUUUCCCCAGACUUCCACCUUUUCCAGUUUGCAGGAGUGAGCUCACCCCUGCCAGGAACAAGCCUAUUAUGGUGACUAGCAGUGCUCUGGUAUCCUCUGCUGCACGUCUCUCCUUGUCCUUAACACACAUUUCACUUUCAAAAACCACACUCAGCCGAUCAGACGGGAGGCAACAACCCCAACACAAACUCUUCCCACUCCUCUUCUGGCUCAUCCAAGCCCACCAAGGUGAAGGUUAAAGGCUAUGCAAUACACUUAUAUUCAGCAGUUUAUGAAGAGGAAGCUCCACUGGCCUUAUUGUGAAGGUAGAACAUGGAUUAUCACCUACGCUUUCUCAUGUUUAAGUAUUUGCAAACAGUUAAUCAGCCCACUGAGACAAUGUCUGAAAUUACUGUGUGGUUUCACAUUUGUGUUGCACUAGGUUUGUUCUUUUUUUCUUUGGUUACUACACGAGCCAUCAAACAACAACGAAAAAUCUGGGUUUGUUUUCAUUUUAAUGAUGAAAGUAGAUUCUCCAUUUACUAAAAAGGCUUAAUUCACAUUUACUACCUGUGCUCCCAGUUUUAAUCCUGUUGGAAGCUUUCAUUUCAACAGCCUAAGGCUGACAUGCACAACCUUUAGGAAAAGCAUAACUGCAAACACAAAUGAA